rnacentral:rRNA from 1 species
UGGGGAAUAUUGGACAAUGGGCGAAAGCCUGAUCCAGCCAUGCCGCGUGAGUGAAGAAGGCCUUCGAGUUGUAAAGCUCUUUUGUCAGGGAAGAAACGGUGAGAGCUAAUAUCUUUUGCUAAUGACGGUACCUGAAGAAUAAGCACCGGCUAACUACGUGCCAGCAGCCGCGGUAAUACGUAGGGUGCAAGCGUUAAUCGGAAUUACUGGGCGUAAAGCGUGCGCAGGCGGUUUUGUAAGUCUGAUGUGAAAUCCCCGGGCUCAACCUGGGAAUUGCAUUGGAGACUGCAAGGCUAGAAUCUGGCAGAGGGGGGUAGAAUUCCACGUGUAGCAGUGAAAUGCGUAGAUAUGUGGAGGAACACCGAUGGCGAAGGCAGCCCCCUGGGUCAAGAUUGACGCUCAUGCACGAAAGCGUGGGGGGCAAAACAGGAUUAGAUACCCUGGUAGUCCACGCCCUAAACGAUGUCUACUAGUUGUCGGGUCUUAAUUGACUUGGUAACGCAGCUAACGCGUGAAGUAGACCGCCUGGGGAGUACGGUCGCAAGAUUAAAACUUAAAGGAAUUGACGGGGUCAUAGCUGUUUCCU